AUGCACGCUGGCGGCGUGCCUAAUACCUGCCAGUCGAGCGAACGGACGAGAAGCUUGCUUCUCUGAUGUUAGCGGCGGACGGGUGAGUAACACGUGGAUAACCUACCUAUAAGACUGGGAUAACUUCGGGAAACCGGAGCUAAUACCGGAUGAUAUUUUGAACCGCAUGGUUCAAAAGUGAAAGACGGUCUUGCUGUCACUUAUAGAUGGAUCCGCGCUGCAUUAGCUAGUUGGUAAGGUAAUGGCUUACCAAGGCAACGAUGCAUAGCCGACCUGAGAGGGUGAUCGGCCACACUGGAACUGAGACACGGUCCAGACGACUAAGGGAGGCAGCAGUAGGGAAUCUUCCGCAAUGGGCGAAAGCCUGACGGAGCAACGCCGCGUGAGUGAUGAAGGUCUUCGGAUCGUAAAACUCUGUUAUUAGGGAAGAACAUAUGUGUAAGUAACUGUGCACAUCUUGACGGUACCUAAUCAGAAAGCCACGGCUAACUACGUG
rnacentral:rRNA from 1 species